rnacentral:rRNA from 1 species
AACGAACGCUGGCGGCAUGCCUAACACAUGCAAGUCGAACGAUGCCUUCGGGCAUAGUGGCGCACGGGUGCGUAUCGCGUGGGAAUCUGCCUUUCGGUUCGGAAUAACUCAGGGAAACUUGAGCUAAUACCGGAUAACGUCGCAAGACCAAAGAUUUAUCACCGAAAGAUGAGCCCGCGUAGGAUUAGCUAGUUGGUGAGGUAAAGGCUCACCAAGGCGACGAUCCUUAGCUGGUCUGAGAGGAUGAUCAGCCACACUGGGACUGAGACACGGCCCAGACUCCUACGGGAGGCAGCAGUGGGGAAUAUUGGACAAUGGGCGGAAGCCUGAUCCAGCAAUGCCGCGUGAGUGAUGAAGGCCUUAGGGUUGUAAAGCUCUUUUACCCGGGAAGAUAAUGACGGUACCGGGAGAAUAAGCCCCGGCUAACUCCGUG